rnacentral:rRNA from 1 species
GACGAACGCUGGCGGCGUGCUUAACACAUGCAAGUCGAACGGUAAGGCCCUUCGGGGUACACGAGUGGCGAACGGGUGAGUAACACGUGGGUGAUCUGCCCUGCACUUCGGGAUAAGCCUGGGCAACUGGGUCUAAUACCGGAUAGGACCCUGGGAUGCAUGUCCUGGGGAGGAAAGCUUUUGCGGUGUGGGAUGGGCCCGCGGCCUAUCAGCUUGUUGGUGGGGUGAUGGCCUACCAAGGCGACGACGGGUAGCCGGCCUGGGAGGGUGACCGGCCACACUGGGACUGGGAUACGGCCCAGACUCCUACGGGAGACAGCAGUGGGGAAUAUUGCACAAUGGGCGCAAGCCUGAUGCAGCGACGCCGCGUGAGGGAUGACGGCCUUCGGGUUGUAAACCUCUUUCAGCACCGACGAAGCGCAAGUGACGGUAGGUGCAGAAGAAGGACCGGCCAACUACGUGCCAGCCGCCGCGGUAA